UACGAAGGGUGCAAACGUUGCUCGGAAUCAUUGGGCGUAAAGCGCACGUAGGCGGCUUGCCAAGUCGGACGUGAAAUCCCUCAGCUCAACUGAGGACGUGCAUCCGAAACUGGCGAGCUUGAGUACUGAAGAGGAUCGCGGAAUUCCCGGUGUAGAGGUGAAAUGCGUAGAGAUUGGAAAGAACACCGAUGGCGAAGGCACUUUACUGGGCUAUUACUAACACUCAGAGACGAAAGCUAGGGUAGCAAAUGGG
rnacentral:rRNA from 1 species